CUUCCAUAUAAACAUUCAUGCUUUACGUAGUAACAAAUGCUACAAUAUCACGAUAUUGAAACACUGAGUUUACAAAUAAAAUAACUUACAAAUGUAUACAAACACACAUCAUAUUGGAAAAGUGACACAAAUAUACUAUUCGAACUCAAAUAUAUGACAAAAAUAACAUGAUAACAAUGGUCUGUGCUAAACCAAAAUAAGCAUUCAAUAUCCAUCUACAUCAUAAUAACAGUUCCUGACAAUCUUAAACAAAAACAUGUACAAAGAAAUUCAGUACUCCAAUAGUUUGGCAAACCCUCUCUAGGAUGGUAUAUUGAUUUCACAAUAUUAGUUGAUAUCUAAACACUAAAGUAAACAUAAAACGACAAUUAGGUUUUGCAGCAAUAAAGUUGUGCUCACUCGUUUCUUGGUUUUUGGUUAAAGUCAUGGUAGAUUGGGGACUCGAUGUUGCCAUUAACGAUAUGUAUCGUUGACUAUAUUGAGUACGGUGGCGGAGCUGAGAGAUUUACUCUGAUUCGUUUUAAUACAGGGGUCCAUAAGGGUUAUAAUUGACUUGCAAUCUAUAGAAUCCCCCAGAUCAUUGUAUGAAUAAAUGGAAAAAGUGGAAGCGGGUUAAUGGAAUGAUGUUUUUGAGAACCAAUUUUGUGGAUGAUGAUCUUGGUAGUCCGAGAAAGAAACGUGAAUUUGGGGGUUUUGAGCAAGAAUGGGGGGAUUGAACAAUAAUGGACUGUUU
rnacentral:lncRNA from 1 species